ensembl:rRNA 5S_rRNA 5S ribosomal RNA
GCUUACGACCACACCGGCCUGAGUACGCCUGAUCGCCCUGAUCUCGGAAGCUAACCAUGGUUGGGCCUGGUUAGUACUUGGAUGGGAGACCGCCUGGGAAUACCAGGUGCUGUAAGCU